CUUCUCCAACAGUCCAACUCCUUCCUUAGUCAUCAGCAAAAUGCCCUAGCCUCCACCAAAGAAAGCAAACCCUAGCCUCAACCAAUCUUGUCGCCGUCUGGCGGAGUGAGAGACUGCUGCUGCCGCCUCCGUCACACUCAAGAACUUCCAUCUUCAUGCUAUCGGCGUUCGUUACUUCUCUCUCACCAUCCCCUGUUCACUCUCAUCAGUCACCUGUUCGCUCUCCAUCCCCUGUUCGCUCUCAUCAGUCGCCUGUUCGCCGUCGUCCGUUGCGCUCAACCGUUCUCCGUCGUCCGUCGCGCUCAACCGCUCUCCGUCGUCCGUCGAAGAUUUGAACUCAUCAAAGUUCCCUGAAUUUAAGUUCUCCUUCAGAGGCACAUAUUCAAUUACCAGUGGAAUGAUAAACAAUCCUGCAUCACUUGGUAAACAUGCAUAUGCCUCUAGCUAAUUCAAUAUAAAUAGUGAAUUUAUUUAUUUUUUUAAUUCUUUACUAAUUCUUUUGUGCUAUAAGUGAUUUGUACAUAUCAUAGUAAAAUAAAAAAUAACAUUGGUUACAAUUGUUUAUUGAAAAUGUGCAAACUUAAGUCAUGAAAGUUGUUUGUAUAAUGUGAGAUCUCAAUGAAUAAGCAGCUUUGCAUUGUAUUCAAUGAUUAUUUGAACCUUCA